rnacentral:rRNA from 1 species
GGCGUGCUUAACACAUGCAAGUCGAACGGAAAGGCCUUUUCGGAGGUACUCGAGUGGCGAACGGGUGAGUAACACGUGGGUGAUCUGCCCUGCACUCUGGGAUAAGCCUGGGAAACUGGGUCUAAUACCGGAUAGGACCGCACUUUAGUGUGUGUGGUGGAAAGUUUUUUCGGUGUAGGAUGAGCCCGCGGCCUAUCAGCUUGUUGGUGGGGUAAUGGCCUACCAAGGCGGCGACGGGUAGCCGGACUGAGAGGUUGGUCGGCCACAUUGGGACUGAGAUACGGCCCAGACUCCUACGGGAGGCAGCAGUGGGGAAUAUUGCACAAUGGGCGCAAGCCUGAUGCAGCGACGCCGCGUGGGGGAUGACGGCCUUCGGGUUGUAAACUCCUUUCGCCAGGGACGAAGCGUUUUGUGACGGUACCUGGAGAAGAAGCACCGGCUAACUACGUGCCAGCAGCCGCGGUAAUACGUAGGGUGCAAGCGUUGUCCGGAAUUACUGGGCGUAAAGAGCUCGUAGGUGGUUUGUCACGUCGUCUGUGAAAUUCCACAGCUUAACUGUGGGCGUGCAGGCGAUACGGGCUGACUUGAGUACUGUAGGGGUAACUGGAAUUCCUGGUGUAGCGGUGAAAUGCGCAGAUAUCAGGAGGACACCGAUGGCGAAGGCAGGUUACUGGGCAGUUACUGACGCUGAGGAGCG